rnacentral:rRNA from 1 species
GACGAACGCUGGCGGCGUGCUUAACACAUAGAAGUCGAACGGAAAGGCCCUGCUUUUGUGGGGUGCUCGAGUGGCGAACGGGUGAGUAACACGUGAGUAACCUGCCCUUGACUUUGGGAUAACUUCAGGAAACUGGGGCUAAUACCGGAUAGGAGCUCCUGCUGCAUGGUGGGGGUUGGAAAGUUUCGGCGGUUGGGGAUGGACUCGCGGCUUAUCAGCUUGUUGGUGGGGUAGUGGCUUACCAAGGCUUUGACGGGUAGCCGGCCUGAGAGGGUGACCGGCCACAUUGGGACUGAGAUACGGCCCAGACUCCUACGGGAGGCAGCAGUGGGGAAUAUUGCACAAUGGGCGGAAGCCUGAUGCAGCAACGCCGCGUGCGGGAUGACGGCCUUCGGGUUGUAAACCGCUUUCGCCUGUGACGAAGCGUGAGUGACGGUAAUGGGUAAAGAAGCACCGGCUAACUACGUG